CACUUGGAGGAUGUAUAGCGAAAGCUAGUUGCAUUAAAUUCGAUUAAUUCGAAGUUAUUGCAGCAUCGACUAUGUCGAAUAAAGUUCUAGGUAGAGUUAUGAUAAUGACAUUUUCUAUCUAUGUGUCUUGACCAAAUCACGUGCCAGCAGUCGCGGUAAUACGUGGAAGACUAGUGUUAUUCAUCUUUAAUAGGUUUAAAGGGUACUUAGACGGUAUUUUUAGCCCAAAUAAAAACAAAGGGUACUAAUUAUACUAGAGUUUUAUGAGUGGGGGGUGCGUACGAAUGGUGUAGAGAUGAAAUUCUGUCAUACCAUUAUGACAGGCGACGGCGAAAGCAACCUUUAGUUAAAAACUGACGUUAAAGGACGAAGGCUUUGUAUCACCAACAGGAUUAGAUACCCAAGCAGUCUAAGCAGACAAUUAUGAAUGCCAUAGAUAAGAAAUCCAUAGAUAAAGAAAGAAGAAAACAUGUACUUUUCAGAAUGCCCUUUUUGGGCAUUGGUUUAUUAAAACCAAAAUAAACUUCUCCUCUUCACUUCUUCAUUUAUUGAAGAAAGAGAGAAGUAGAGAUGAAAAAAAAUGGCUCGUAAUCUUAUCUAUCAUCAUCAUCUGAAAGAUGAUGAAGAAUACAUUUCUUUUAGAGAUCGACUAUGUCGAAGUUAACAAAAAAAGAAAUAGGAUGUAUUUUUGUCUAUAAAUGAAAGUGUAAGCAUUCCACCUCAAGAGUAAAGUGGCAACGCACAAACUGAAAUCAUUAGACCGUUUCUGAAACCAGUAGUGAAGUAUGUUGUUUAAUUUGAUGGUCCGCAAAAAACCUUACCACAAUUUGUAUAUUAUUAGCUUAAUACAAGAGUUGCACGGCUGUCUUCAGUUAAUGUCGUGAGAUUUUGGUUAGUUCCAUAAAAUUAACGUAAACCCUUACUUUAUUUAUAUUAUAAAGUAGUUCACCGCUAUAUUGAUAUGAUAAGAGGGACUAAGACAAGUCAUCAUGGCCUG
rnacentral:rRNA from 1 species